GACGAACGCUGGCGGCGUGCUUAACACAUGCAAGUCGAACGGAAAGGCCCUGCUUUUGUGGGGUGCUCGAGUGGCGAACGGGUGAGUAACACGUGAGUAACCUGCCCUUGACUUUGGGAUAACUUCAGGAAACUGGGGCUAAUACCGGAUAGGAGCUCCUGCUGCAUGGUGGGGGUUGGAAAGUUUCGGCGGUUGGGGAUGGACUCGCGGCUUAUCAGCUUGUUGGUGGGGUAGUGGCUUACCAAGGCUUUGACGGGUAGCCGGCCUGAGAGGGUGACCGGCCACAUUGGGACUGAGAUGCGGCCCAGACUCCUACGGGAGGCAGCAGUGGGGAAUAUUGCACAAUGGGCGGAAGCAUGAUGCAGCAACGCCGCGUGCGGGAUGACGGCCUUCGGGUUGUAAACCGCUUUCGCCUGUGACGAAGCGUGAGUGACGGUAAUGGGUAAAGAAGCACCGGCUAACUACGUG
rnacentral:rRNA from 1 species